GACGAACGCUGGCGGCGUGCCUAAUACAUGCAAGUUGAGCGCUGAAGGUUGGUACUUGUACCAACUGGAUGAGCAGCGAACGGGUGAGUAACGCGUGGGGAAUCUGCCUUUGAGCGGGGGACAACAUUUGGAAACGAAUGCUAAUACCGCAUAAAAACUUUAAACACAAGUUUUAAGUUUGAAAGAUGCAAUUGCAUCACUCAAAGAUGAUCCCGCGUUGUAUUAGCUAGUUGGUGAGGUAAAGGCUCACCAAGGCGAUGAUACAUAGCCGACCUGAGAGGGUGAUCGGCCACAUUGGGACUGAGACACGGCCCAAACUCCUACGGGAGCCAGCAGGAGGGAAUCUUCGGCAAUGGACGAAAGUCUGACCGAGCAACGCCGCGUGAGUGAAGAAGGGUUUCGGAUCGUAAAACUCUGUUGGUAGAGAAGAAAGUUGGUGAGAGUGGAAAGCUCAUCAAGUGACGGUAACUACACAGAAAGGGACGGCUAACUACGUG
rnacentral:rRNA from 1 species